GACGAACGCUGGCGGCGUGCUUAACACAUGCAAGUCGAACGGAAAGGCCUGCUUUCCCUUGUGGAUUGCGGGUACUCGAGUGGCGAACGGGUGAGUAACACGUGAGUGAUCUGCCCCCAACUUGGGUAUAAGCCUGGGAAACUGGGUCUAAUUCCCGAUAGGACUGCAGGGUGGUGCCUGUGGUGGAAAACGAUUUUCUAGUGGUUGGGGAUGAGCUCGCGGCCUAUCAGCUUGUUGGUGGGGUAAUGGCCUACCAAGGCGGCGACGGGUAGCCGGCCUGAGAGGGUGGACGGCCACAUUGGGACUGAGAUACGGCCCAGACUCCUACGGGAGGCAGCAGUGGGGAAUAUUGCACAAUGGGCGGAAGCCUGAUGCAGCGACGCCGCGUGGGGGAUGACGGCCUUCGGGUUGUAAACUCCUUUCGACCGCGAGGAAGCCACCUGGUUGGAAGGGUGAUGACGGUAGUGGUAGAAGAAGCACCGGCUAACUACGUG
rnacentral:rRNA from 1 species